rnacentral:rRNA from 1 species
UACGAAGGGUGCAAGCGUUACUCGGAAUUACUGGGCGUAAAGCGUGCGUAGGUGGUUUUUUAAGUCCGUUGUGAAAGCCCUGGGCUCAACCUGGGAAUGGCAGUGGAUACUGGAAAGCUAGAGUGCGGUAGAGGGUAGUGGAAUUCCCGGUGUAGCAGUGAAAUGCGUAGAGAUCGGGAGGAACACCAGUGGUGAAGGCGGCUACCUGGACCAGCACUGACACUGAGGCACGAAAGCGUGGGGAGCAAACAGG